rnacentral:rRNA from 1 species
UGAACGCUGGCGGUAGGCCUAACACAUGCAAGUCGAACGGCAGCACAGUAAGAGCUUGCUCUUACGGGUGGCGAGUGGCGGACGGGUGAGGAAUACAUCGGAAUCUACUUUUUCGUGGGGGAUAACGUAGGGAGACUUACGCUAAUACCGCAUACGACCUACGGGUGAAAGCAGGGGAUCUUCGGACCUUGCGCGAUUGAAUGAGCCGAUGUCGGAUUAGCUAGUUGGCGGGGUAAAGGCCCACCAAGGCGACGAUCCGUAGCUGGUCUGAGAGGAUGAUCAGCCACACUGGAACUGAGACACUGUCCAGACUCCUACGGGAGGCAGCAGUGGGGAAUAUUGGACAAUGGGCGCAAGCCUGAUCCAGCCAUACCGCGUGGGUGAAGAAGGCCUUCGGGUUGUAAAGCCCUUUUGUUGGGAAAGAAAAGCAGCAGGUUAAUACCCCGCUGUUCUGACGGUACCCAAAGAAUAAGCACCGGCUAACUUCGUG